rnacentral:lncRNA from 1 species
GAGAGGGAGAAACAGACGAGUGGAAGUUUUCGCGAGUGAGGGGUUCACAGAGCGCUCUUUCUCUCUCUCCUCUUUCUUCCCCUUUCUCCAAGGGCUCCGAAUCGAUCGUCGUCGGAGACUCUCGCCGAUUCCUCGAGCGCGCCCUUCCGAUUUCUAGGAGCCGAUUGAGAUGGUGAGUUCGCGUCCCCGCUUUUAGAUCUGCAGCGAGUAAUUGGCUGCUCGAUUGCCGGCUCACCUGAUAGUCCUAGGUGAGGUGGGUGGCAUUGGGCAACUAAAUAAGGGGGUCCUUAGUGUGUUUUCACCUGAACUUGGUGGUUUAGUACCAUGAGUACUGAAUGUGCGUGACAUUGUUGAGUUAGCGGAUGCGCUACAUUGUAAAUGAUUUUCUUUCUGACCAAAAAAAAAUUUGAUUUUCUUUCAGGGUCGGACACCUUUUUUUUUCGCAUUAUCUAUUGAAUUUAACUUCUCACGGGUAACGAAUUAUUCAAGUUGGCGAGAUUUGGAAGAAUUGAUAAAAAGAUGUGCCUUUGGAACCCUUUUGUCGAAGCUUGGAGAUUAUUUCUGUGGAAGGAUUGAUAAAAAGAUGUCUUUUCAAAGUAUUAUUCAAGGAUUACCUUGAAGAGACUUGCAGAGCUGUUAUACCUCAGCCUUCAGGUUGAUUAUGUUGAACACUUGUUUAUAUUCUUCAUCAGUGUCAAUCUUUAUGAAUGAUUGCGUAGAGCCCUCAUUUAACACUGAGCAGCCUCUCUGCCUGUGAUCCCUGUGGGGCAUGGUUGCUGGACUUGGAUACAAGUCCCAAAAAAAGUGGAAAAGAAGUUUUGGUGCCUUGAAAGUGGCUUGUCAUGAGGUUGAGAAUGUUGUCUUUGUAGUUUCAUUUUGUAAACAUUUCUUACCAAUAUAUAUGUGUGGACUUCACUUUGUCAACUUCUGCUCAUGAAAUUUGUAGCUGUAAGUGUCAUUGUCUGGCGUUUUGAAACCAUUUCUUGUCCCAUGGAGCCUAAAAUUCCAAUGCCCUUUAGAAGGGUGGGAGGAGUUUUGCUAUCACUCACCAUUUCCUGUGUUACCAAAGUAUAUCUUGUGAUUAGAGCUUUCUUAUUGUGUUCUGAAAAUCUAUGUAGCUGAAUCACUCAAGGAAAAGAGCUCUGUUUUUGGGUUCUGUUACAACUGUUGUAGAGAGCUUUGAUUGUUCUAUGUUACCAUUUUAGGAAUCUUAAAAUCAUCUCUCCAAAAUGGUUGUUUCCAAGUCCCUAGUGGCACAGAUAGACCGGCCGAUGGGAGUUGUCUAUUUCCAGAUGACAAAGGACAGCAAUAUCAUCUUGAAUUUGUGGGCGACAAAUUUAGAAAAGCUCCUCAAUCUUGUUGAAAAAAGUUGCCACCAAAUCUACAAGGAAACGUUGGUUCAUAAGGCUGCUUUGAGAGCUUGAUAAUGUUCUUAGUUGAAUGAAUGAUCUCUCUCCCCUUGAGCGUCCCUCGAUCUCUCACCAAAAGAGAAGCGGAAUAAUGAUGUUUCACAUUGUGGACUGAAGUGGGACUGAAGAUGUUUAUCAUAUCUCUCGUGCAGCUGGCUUUAAUUUGAUUGCUUAUUUUGCAGGGGGGCCAGAGCUGGGCCUUGUCUGGACUGAAAUGAUACAAUGAGUACACUUUCUGCAUAGGAAUUAGGAAUUUAUGUUGGUCUUUUCUUCUUUCCUCUUCAUCCCUCCUUUUCAUUGAAGAUUUUUGAGCUCUCAGGGUCCAGAACUUGUGCCAUUGGAAUUAGUAUCAGCACAAGAUGUGCACUCAAUGCAACAGAAUGAGCAUGUUAAAAUCUGUUUGGCAUUACAAAUUUUGCUGGUGCUUAUAUUUUUUUUAACGUUGGGGAUAACACUAGCUCUCCAUAGAAAAGGCGAAUGGAUGUUAUUUUUUUAUAUCAUUUCACAUUUGAAUUUCAUCUUCAGCAGAGAGAGCGUGUUUCUUUUGGACCCAACCUUGGCCAUUGGCGGUUCUAAAAACCUGUUUCUGGGGAGCUUCAUUCAAUUAGGUAACUGCAUUUUUUAUCUCCUCAAGAGAGACAUAGUUUCUCUCCAAGUUGAUGUUUUGAUGUCAUUUCCAUAAGACACUCCGUUUUGAUGUCAUUUCUAUAUAUAGUUUCUGUCACUGAAAUGUGUUUGAUUCCGACUGGUUUUGACAUCUCUUUGAACUCUUGGCACGUGUGUGUAAUACAAUGAGAAGCUUUGAAAUAUUGAGGAUAAUGUGUUUCUUCGACGAUCAUAAAAUUUCAGAUUUGAGGGGAGUUUUCUUUACAUAGUCUCUUCCCAUUUUCAAUUUACUAUAGGUGCUUCUAAGUGGCAACAUGGGAUUAUUUCUUUGUCUAAUUUGUUUUUGCUUUUAUCUUUUGACACCAUCGCAUAUUUCCUAUUAAUCUCGGCAUUUGAUUGAUUUCAUUGGUCAAUUAUUGUCUAAAAUCCCUUUUCUUUACCGAAGAAGAUGUAAAGGUUUUGAAUAUUGUGUCAUAGAGUGAAAUGGGAAAAAAGUGACUCCUAUGGGGACCACUGGGUAGUUCUUUAACUUUAUUCGUUUCAUGGAACAUGUUUGGAUGGAACUAGAAAAAAUAUGAUCCACUCCUUAAGUUUUCUAUUACACUUGUAUUUAUGCAGAUCUCCGAGUCCAGUAAAAUAUCAGAGGAAUGGCACACUCUCAUGGAAGGAUGAGAAGCAACCUGAGUGAAAAACCCUUCGUCUCUACCCUCUGAAAGCUUAUUACUUCAUUAAUAUCAUUAUGUAGAGCUUUCGAUACUUCAUCUCUUUUCAUUUUUUGCAAGUGUACAAAAAAGCUCGUGUCAAGUACGACAGUCCAAAGUUUACAUCAACGCAAAUAAUAUAGAAGAAAUAGAGCGAUUAUUUAUAAGUUGCUCACGAACGUUGUGUUGAAUGCAUUUUCCAAUUUUGCGCUUGAUUGAUAGAAGAAUAGUUCCUAGUAGUAAAUCUCUAAUCAAGUUGAAUCCGAGAAAUUCCAUUCAUGUGGUUUCAACUAAUAUUGUAGAUCAAUU